rnacentral:rRNA from 1 species
UGGGGAAUAUUGGACAAUGGGGGCAACCCUGAUCCAGCAAUGCCGCGUGUGUGAAGAAGGCCUUCGGGUUGUAAAGCACUUUUAUCGGGAACGAAACAUUGUCGGCCAAUACCCGGCAAGACUGACGGUACCCGAGGAAUAAGCACCGGCUAACUCCGUGCCAGCAGCCGCGGUAAUACGGAGGGUGCAAGCGUUAUCCGGAAUCACUGGGCGUAAAGGGCGCGUAGGCGGUCUGUUAAGUCCGAUGUUAAAUCCCGGGGCUCAACCCCGGAUAAGCGUUGGAUACUGGCAGGCUAGACGGUUGGAGAGGCGAGUGGAAUUACCAGUGUAGCGGUGGAAUGCGUAGAUACUGGUAGGAACACCCAUUGCGAAGGCAGCUCGCUGGACAACACGUGACGCUGAGGCGCGAAAGUGUGGGGAGCAAACC